CAUUCUGUGCUACACAGCAAGAGAGCAGUAAGUUAUCAGACAUAGGGACUGAAGGGGAAGAUGAAGAUAGCCUUCUCAUUCCAUAAGAAGUGGGAAGUGAAGCAGCAAAGAAGACAGGAGGACUGAUUCAGGAAGAUAACACAGCAGCUUACAACAUGGAGGACAAGAGAGAUCCUUAAAGGUAAGAAGCAGUUCUUGCAUGACCGGUGGCUAUCACCAUACAUCCGCUACCACACAGGUCUGGACCUUUUUGAGAGAAACACUGUAAAGUACAGCGGGUGGCUGGAUAUAAUCUAGACUUGGCCCCAUAUUCUGGGAAUCCAAAUUAUUGCGCUUGCCUGUCCCUGGAAGCAAUGAAGAACUCCUCUUGGCCCAUGAACUGCCUCGUAUUGCACCAGAUUAAAAGCAUGAAACAGCAUGGAGAAACACAGGAAAGCUUGUCUCUGCAGUCAGGCAAAGAUGAGGACAUGAAGAUGUAUAACUGUCCCAGGUGUGAGAAUAGUACAGUUUACCCCCUCAGGAUUUGUAACAGGUUUGCCUGAAGGAGAAUGAAGUAGGGUAAGAUUAGAGAAAGAACCUUGGCAUUUCUUCAUUGUGCAUUUUCAGCGUGGUAGU
rnacentral:lncRNA from 1 species